GGCCUGGAGAGGUCCAGAGGUUGGUGGGAACCAGACUAGGGGGCUGGCUUGUGGCUGUAACACUGUCAAUUCCUGCCUCUCCGAGUCUGCAGAGUGCGCUCUACAAGGCUCUCCUUUGACUGAAUGUAUACAAAGUUGACUCCUGAUUCAAGAAGAAAAAAGGGCGGCGUCAUGGGGAUGCCAGCAGAAGCCAAGAAGCCGAAGCAGAAGCUGAGAGAGAAGCAAGAGAAGCAGAAGCUGAGAGAAGGCCAGAGAGCCCAGAUAGAAUGAAGACUUGCUGGGGGCCUGGAGGCCUGCCAGCCUCCCGGCCCCCUGCACCCUUACCUGCUAUGUACCGGGUAAAUCCCAAUAAAAAGACCUGCAAA